rnacentral:lncRNA from 1 species
CACAAACAGUGUUUAAUCCCUGGUUCACCCUGAAUAGGACAUACGCAUUCAUAUCCACCAUGAAUAGAACAGUUUGGACAAGCGAGGACUGCCUCCUCCAUCUACCAUCACUGUCAGGGGAGACCUUUGUUGUCAAGAGCCAUACCUACAUUUUCCAGAGAAGGCCUUUUCUCUUUCAGCCCCUCUGUGCUCUCUGCACUCACUCAAAACCAAACUGGAUUCCGCCCUGACCCAGGCUCAGCCGUCCUCUUCUUGCCUGAGACAAGCUUCCUCCACAUACCAGCCCCAUGCUUAGCACAUGCUGGGAUGAAGCAGCCUAUCACCUGUGUCUGCUCCCAGCUAGUGAGGAAGCCAUCUCACUUGAAAAGCAUCUCCUGCAACAGCCUUCCACGAAUUUCAGGACUUAUCGACACAAGGGCUCUGCGGGGAGAUACACGG